GGAGGGAAAUUAAAUCAGGAAACAAUCUUGUCUUUUGUAAUUUGAAUAAUAUCUUUGCAAGCGAGCGAGAGUCCAGAGAGGUUACAGUUUGCGUCUCUGCCCGUCUCUGAAGAGCACGGAAGAGCAACACACAGUUAAACUAAAAUUGGAGGGAGAUGAGGGAACAAGAAAGAAAGACCUAUUCACAUUUUAUCUUGUCCUUGAGAGAAAAGGGAGGUUCGUACAACCACCGAGACAGGAUGACACAAGGGAAGAAACAAUGUCACUAGGUACAUUUGAAAAGGUCACAUAAGAACGAAGAACUGUUGAAGACAACACCCCACCCAGCCAAGAGGCGACACAAGCCAGCACAGAGAAUGAGUGUGUCGUGUGAGUUAACUUGUUUUGUGAAUGGCCUGGCUGUGCUGUUCUCCUACUACAACUUUAACCUCAGUAUCAGCUCGGUGCAACUUGCAUGCUGGAAUUCAGCCAUAGGUGUGGGUCAUCAACUCACAGCCUGCAGGGAGUUGCUCUCCGGCAGGGACGCUGGCCGGAUCCUGUGGUUGGUCCCGUUGGUGGGUGAAGGCCUCUUGCGUGGCUGGGAUGGUGGCAGCGGUGGGGUCCCUGCGUCCUACUCCUGGGCGAUGCUUCAUUGGGGCUGGCAUGGGUGUUCUCCUGUCUGCCCACCCUUCUGUGGAGAAUGGAUGAGGUUGAAUCCACCCUUCUUUGUUGUGCCAGCCCAGCACCUCCAGCACAAUUCUGAUGACUCACAUGCACGUGAGACAGUGUUGAUUCACUCGCAUGUCUUCGUAAACACACACCCAGGGGAUUUGUUUGCUUGGUGUGCAGCCACUCCCUAAUCACAAUAAACUACCAUUAUGACUUUGUGAACUUCCUGCAUGGACUGUCCUCUCACUUGCACUCAAUUUGUACAGGUGUUUAGGAACUGUAAAGCCACUCUCACCACUAAUAGCACUGCCUGACUCACUAUCCCUGCCCUUUCCUGUCCCAUCCUGUCCAAUUUCCUUCUCAUUGCAUCGCUUCCUCAGAGGGUGAAACACUACUUUCCCAGUCAUCACAAUAAAGAUACUGUAGAACACGAUUCCCAUGCAACAUUUUGGUAGUCAUGUACGGUUUCAUUCAGUUCUCUCUUUUCUCUCUGUCUGUCCCCUUUCAAACCUUAUUCCGUCAGACAGCA